UGUCAAGCCACAACCAAAACUAUGGCGCUAGAUGGGAGGCAGCCCACUUUUUCUUACAUGUUUUUAUUGUUUUCGUUGAAAGUGCAGGCAUGAGAAACUUUAUGGCAUAGGGAAAAUCUAAAAGUGAGUAAUUUUGUGUUUUGAGAGGUUAUGAAGUAUGUAAAAGAUGUAUUAAGUUGAUGAAAAAGAAAGGCAAGAAAAUGGGUGACAAAAAUAUCCCCAAAGACACAAAACAAUGGCUAUCCACGAUAGCCCCGCGUCAUGGACCCUAUCCUCCGCGAUAAGGUCCGUGUCGUGCUAAAGGAAAAUUUUACGGAGGCCAAUGCCAUUAAGCCUUCACGAUAUCCUGGCGCCACGGAGUUUAUUGUGGAGACCAAGCUCCGCAGCACGAAGGGGGUCUAUUUCGAGAAAUUUAAUUAAAAUGUCAGGUUUUGACCCGACCCUAUCUCCUAUAACCCAAAAUUCACCCCUUUUAAUCCCAACUCCUCUCAUUUUCUCUAACACUAACGUAUCACUCUCUCAAAAAAUCCCCUUACCUCACACAAGUGUGUUAUGCUGAGAAUUCUCUCCUCUCCUCUCCAUCUUUUUAUUUUGGGUACUAUGGACAAUAGACAAUAAAAGGGAAAGGAUAUUGCUGGAGCAUCUGAGCUUUCCAAAAAGAGAAACAGAACAAUUGUGCGGGAGCCAAGAGUUAUUGUUGUACCACGCAGGCAAACACAUAGAUAUAGGACCAAAUAGGUGAAGGAGGCUGGCCAGAAAUGGUAUUCAAAGCACAAUGAGAUGAAGUACACCCCAGAUGAGUUCAUCAACCAAGAAAACUUACUAAGGAAAUACCCCAACAUGGUACAAAAACUAGAGCAACUGCAAAUGAAUUUUAUCGUUGAGUAGCCCACGGAGUGCAACUUUUACCUCAUCAGAUAAUUUUAUGCUAAUUGGGACCCCAGAGAUCCUGAUUCUGAAGUAAAUAUCAGUGGACAGGUAGUGACUUUCUUAGCCCAUGUUUUGAAUAAAUUUCUAGGCAUUCCCAAGGCAGAUGCAGUCCUUCUGAGGUAGCUAAACAUUACCUUACCAUAUGCAGACAUUAGACAUGUAUGGAAAUAGGUCUGUAGCUUGAUGGGUUCAUCACAGAGAGAGUGCCCUUCACCUGACAUUCCCAUAUUCUCAAAUGAACAAGGAGGCACUCAUGUGGUUGAUAAUUAUCUAUCAUUGCCUCAUUUAUAGUAAGCAGAUGAAAGACGUUACUCAUGAUAGGUCUGCUUGGCUUAUACUUUAUGCAGGAGAUAUUGAUAUCAAUGUGGGUGUUGUUAUCCUGUCCAAAAUUAAGAAGGUGCACUAUCAUCAUGGGCGUAAAUAUGGUUUUGGUGGGUUGUUGACCAGGUUUCUGAGGGGUCAAGAGAUUGAGGAGGAGGCACUAUAUUAUAGGCCAGUAGUGAACAUGCGCCCUAUAGAUAUGACCAGGACUAAAGAACUAAACAUGGCUCAUGGUUCGGUGCUUACUAUGCCUAGCAUCAGGAUCAGAAUAAUGAGAUUACCCCCGUAUGUAUGGGCUACAGAUGCUUUAGCUGAGAGUAGGGGGUAAACCAGCUAUGAGGGAGGAGAUUCAUGCAGUAUAGCUAGACUAUCCACUUGGUCAUCAUGCCCGGACAUUUCUGAGGGUAGAACCGGAUUUUCUAGAGCUUGUUCAUGAUAAUGUGCCCACAGAUAAGGAGCGGCAGUUGAGAGAUUCAAAUAUAGAUUCAGAGGAAGAGGCAGUGGACCCAGAUUUAGGAGUUGAGGCAUACAGUCCAGAUGUCGAUGAUGACAUGUAUGAUUCUUAAUCAGGGAGUGCUAUACCAUCUUAUUACUUUGUUAUGUUUGUAAGCACUGAGGACAGUGAAACAUUUUUAGUGUGGGGUGGUGGUUCACAUUCUUCGCACCUUUUAUUUGCUACUCUAUAUUUUAUGGAUUUUUAUUUUAUUAUUGUUGUUGAUGUUGCUUCGAUUGACAUUCUAACUAUUUGGUCUGUAAUAGUUAGUAAUUAUGAUAUUUGUUGACUUGGUAA